ACAGAAGGAUCGGAAACAAAAAAGAACCGAACCUUCCAAUUAUGUACUGAAGAUGGAGCCCCUUUUAUCAACGCGGGGACUCCUCUCGGUGGGGAGACGUACCAUCAAUCUUGGUAUGUCUUGUCACGGUGUAAAAGGAUCAAAAAAGGGAUAGAGAGGGCUGGACCCUGGCUUUGGAGCCGAGAACUAAAAAAUCGAUGAUAAAAUGGAAGG
rnacentral:lncRNA from 1 species